rnacentral:misc_RNA from 1 species
CGAAGUUCCUUCCACCAUGACUGGAGUUCAGGAUCUUUACUGACCAUGUCAUCUGUCUCAUAGUAAAAGGAGCAAUAGUCUUUCACCCAUUCUCUGAUUGAUGACCAUAUCUCAAGCCCAUCAACAGCAUAGGGGUAGUCUUUCACCAGUAAGCGUAGACCGUGUGGAGAAUUAGGAUCUUCAACUGCCAUUCCUCUCUUCUUUAGA